rnacentral:tRNA from 5 species
GCGCUCUUAGCUCAGCUGGAUAGAGUACCUGGCUACGAACCAGGCGGUCGGAGGUUCGAAUCCUCCAGGGCGCACCA